AAAAUAAAUGCAUUAAUUUUACAACUACAUAUUCUCUAUCAACUUAAGAUUUUAUAUUAAAUUGCGACCCUAUCUGUACGCCGAGAGGCUAGGUGUAAAUUUUAUCCCCUAAACUUUUUAGAGCUAGAAAUAUUGGUCUACUAGUCGUGCCUUAUUUUCUUAACUAAAAAUUCGAAGAGAUUAUCAACCGUCCCUAGAGCAAGUGGCAAAGAGUUUGGUGGUUGGUAUCCGAGACCCGAGUUCGAAUCCUAGUUGAUUCACAUUUUCAGCUAAGUUUAUUUCUAAAUGAAAUAAACAAAGCGGGUAGCGUGCUACCUAUCUCNGUAUCCGAGACCCGAGUUCGAAUCCUAGUUGAUUCACAUUUUCAGCUAAGUUUAUUUCUAAAUGAAAUAAACAAAGCGGGUAGCGUGCUACCUAUAAAAAACUAAAAAAAAAAAAAUCGAAGAGAUUUCCUUAACUCUAGGAUGAAAAGGUAUAAAAUGUACACUCCUAUAUGAGAUAUACAUAUAGUUUUUUUUUUUAUACUAAAAUUAUAAUAACUUUUUAAUGUGGCGAAAUAAAUAUAUUAUUUUUACAACUACAUGUUCUUUAUCAAUUUAAGAUUUUAUAUUAAAGAGCAACGCUAUCUGUACACCGGGGGACAAAGUGUAAAUCUUAUACCUAAGUUUUCUAGGACUAGGAAUAUUAGUCUUCCAGUCGCAUCAUAUUUUCUUUAACCAAAAAUUCAGAGAGAUUUUCUUAACUCUAGGAUGGAAGGGUGUAAAAUGUACACUCCUAUAUAAGAUGUACAAAUAAUAUUUUUUAUUAAAGUAUCGGAGUAGGAGUAGGAGGUUUAUAUGAGUUUGUGUUCUAUCUGACUGCAAGUUAAGGUUAUUUCCUUUCAUUUAGUUUACAUUCACAUCUUGGACCUAUAAAAAGUCUCAAGCUGACUUUUGAUAGAUUGACUAUACUUUUAAGCUUCGUUUGGUUUGUGAUUAAGUAAGAACUAGUUAUUUCAGGAAUAGGAUUAAGUUCAGAAUUACGGUGGGGUUAGAAUAAAUAAUUGUGUUUAGUCCAGAUAUAAGUAAAAUAGUAUUUGGCUGGAGUAAGUGGAAUAAGAAGGAUAGUGAGUUGUUAUAAAUAGAAAAUAACUUUAUAUUUGAAUUUAAAUAUUUAAAUUUCAUAAUUAAAAUUUUAAAUUUAAAUUAAUAACUUUAAAAAUUAAAAAAUUAAAUAAAAAUUAAUUUUCAAACUCAAUUCAAAAUUUAAGUUUAAAUUUUAAUUUAUGAUUAAUUUAAAUUUAAAAAUAUCAAAUAUUAAUUUAAAAUUUAAAAAAUUAAAAAUAAUAAUUUAUAAUUUAUAAUUUAUAAUUAUCUGUCUCAAUUUUAAGCUUACAAAUUUUUAAAUUUAUAAAAUUUGAAAAACAAAUUUAAAUUUAAUAUUUAAAUUUAAAAAUUGAAUUGGGGUGGGAUUAGCUUUAAUCCCACCCCAAUUCCAUGGGAAGGGUGGGGUUAACAAACCCCACCUUUAUUGGGUUAUCCCAGAAUUAUCCGAUAAGGGUGGGGUUUGUUAACCCCACCCCUAAACUCCACUGUUUGGGAUUAAGUUCGGGGUUAACUAUCCCCCUAAUCCCGAACCAAACAAGGUGUUAAGUGUAAGCCAGAUGAUUAUAAGCUCUCUUCCGCGAUGGUAAUAUAAAUGUUUAAAACAUCACUUUUAAUAGCAUAAAUUUCGAUUAAAAUUGGCCGAUUUACAUCAUAUUAAUCAUAGCGGCUUCAAUUAUAUUUAGAAUUAAGAUCUUCUUUUAUUUUAUACACUGCAUAUUAAAAAUUUAUAUAAAGUUGACUACACAUGAACCAUUAAUGUUGGUUUUUUUAAAAAAUAAUUAUUUUAGCCCAGGUGACCUAAUAGUAGUACAGCAUAAAGCCACACUAUAAUUUGUGCCAUGUCUCAGCAUAAAAGGUUUAUUUGGUUCAUUUUAUUUUAGAUUAUUUUCUACCCUGGGAUAACAGAGAAUAAAUCAAUGUUAUAAUUAUUAUAACAAUAAUUGCAGGAAUAAAUAUGAAGAUGAGAAAUCAUCAGGCUCUAGCCUAGUUGGCAAGAGCUCUGGAAGGUAUUCAGAAGAUUUGGAAAGUGCCCCAAAAACUUUAAAAUAUUAAAUAUAAUCUCAAUUUUUUAUAAAAAAAAGUCAAAUUACCUAAUCAUUAUCAUUUUUUUUAUGAAGUUUCUACCAAUGGGAUAGAUAGUUUUCAUGCCAAAUAACUAAUUGGGAUAUAUCUAUGCCAAAUAAUUAAAUAACUAUGUUGAAUUAUAUAAAAUAACCGUUGUUCUCCAUUAAUUUAUGUCAAGAUGGGAUGAUAAUAGAAGAUGGGAUGAUAAUAGAAGUCCGAGUUAUGUUAACAAACUUGCGGCAUGCAUAAGAAUACACCUUAUACGUACGAAGCGUCAAUAAAAUAUGUUCAAUAAAAUUAACUAAAAUCUAACAAUAGUAGGUAUCAGAAUAAAAUAAAAAUUAUAUACCAUAGCAACACUGUAAAUAUACAAUCAUCAGCACACCAGUCCUCAAAAUGGUAUAACAUCUCUGAGUCACUCCAAAUCUCAAAACACUGUAUAAGCUAUUAUAUACACGAAUAGGUGGUCCAACUACAGGCACAAAAAGAAUAGAGAAUGCUAAACUUUCCACGAUCCUCUUAUCUCGAUCACUCACUGGUACUGAAGGUUCCGUCAUAAAAUAUUAAUUAAGAGAGUAUGAGAACUAUAAUUAAUAGUCUCCGGUGGGUACGGUCGACAACGCCGACGGUCUACACCACUAGACCCAUAAGAGACAAAAAUAAUAGUAUGAAUGAACAAAUAUUAAUAUGAAUACAGCUGAAAAUAAAUGUUGCUCUCAUGCAUGUACAAUAUAACUGAAAACUGAAAAUCACGUAUCUCAUGCAUCAAUAGUUACUGAAUAAAAUAAUCCAAUAAUACCCAAUCAUAGUGAGUAACUCAACAAUCAAGUCUAACUUGCACCGUCUCGUGUCCAGCAUUCACAUAUAGUGAUCCCCUACUACGUAGACUACUGUCUGGCCAUGUCAUAAUAAUAUCUCGUAGCCUAAUCUUUGAAGUGACACUCACGGGGCACUACUCUAAUCGAAUAUAGUAUCAUUAUCAAUCAAAAUAGCACGCAUGCUAUAGUCAAAAUACGAUGAUAAAAAAGAUCACGACAAUACUAUCAUAGUGUCCCAAAUAUAGUUAUAAUUUCACACUAUCAGUCACUCUUAAAAAUAUGCAAGUCUCAAUAUACUACAGGUAGGUGUCAAAAUACUGUUACUAUCUCAUCAUUGUCGAAUCGUUGGCGCUAACCAUUAAUCCCAAAAGCUCGAGUUGUUAAAAAUACGCAACCAAUUCACUUAAAACGUAUAGAUAUAUGUAUAGAUACAGCGCCCACGAGUCUCGAUUAUAACUCGGCCCAACCAGCCUCACGCCACAGCGUAGGAUGUUGGUCAUUUAAACCAACAAUCUCCCCUCCAGCAUCUGCACACAUUUGCAGCAUGCGGGAAUCAAACCUGUGACUUCUGGCUCUGAUAAAACUUGUUGGAUCGUUAGCGCUAACCAUUAAUCUCAAAAGCUCGAGCUGUUAGAAAUACGCAACCAAUUUACUUAAAGCGUAUAGAUACAGCGCCCACGGAUCUCGAUAGUAAUUCGGCCCAACCAGCCUCAUGCCACUUCGAACAUAACUUGGCCCACAUGACUUCCCGUCGCAGGGUAGGAUGCUGACAUAUUUAAACCAACAAUCAUCACAUAAGCUAAAUAGAUAUAAAAGUUAGCCCGCCAAUUUUGAUAAUACGGAAUCCACCUAUAUCGCAAAUCCGAAAAACAGAAUGGUUAUCAAGAUAGUGUGGUGAUCCGACACUACUCUCCUAGUCUAAACAGCAGCUACAAUACCUAAAGUAGCUCAAAACAUCCCUCGUCAAAAUCGCACGAAAUCGAUUACUAAAACGUACAGAAAUCAGUCUCUAACUCUAAUUUCUACACAAUUUAUCAAAAGAGUUUAAACGAAAAGAUAAUAAUAUUAUAAUAUUAAUCCAACUUCGAAACAUCAAAAAAGCACCCGCUCGCACACGUUGGACUCGCUACUUGAAAACAAUCUCGCCUCUCUCUCUUUCUCUCUCUCUCUCUCUCUCUCUCUCUUAACCGCCUUUCUACUGUCUCACUCUCUCUCUCUCAAGGUGACAAAGAAGGGAUCAGGAUGGAGGCCUAUGUGGAUUCCAUGCUGUAAAGAUAGCAAAAAUAUAAAAAAGCCCCUCACAAAUUAUACAUUUCAAUUUUAUUCCUCACGAGUUAAUUUUUGAGUUUUUUAGUCUGUUUUUGCGUCUAUUUCGUGCCAAAACGUCUUCAACCUAGUCAAGCACUAUAAAAAAAUAUACUGAUUAAAAAAUUUAUACUAUAACCUUACCUAUUUGUUAAAGUUCAAUAUAUCACAACUUAAACUGAGUAGAGAAUGGUAUUUUAUAUUUAUAAUUUUCUAAUAUGGACAAAUUAAAUUAAAAAAAUUAAUUAUAGUAUGAGUACAACGUGACUCAAAUUCAAAACCUCACAUUCUGAUAUCAUGUUAAAUUAAAUAAAAUAAUUAUUAUUCUCCAAAACUUUGAACUAAUAAAAAAUAAUAUUUUAUAUUUUUUUUAUUUAACAAAUUACAUCCCUUCAAUUUAUGGGCUAUAUGUGUAAAGUGUUAUACAAAUGGAUCCUAGUUAUUUCCCUGCUCCCUCCUUUUUGACAAAACCAUACCAUCGUCCAAACCCUAGCCCAACAACUAAACUAGGUCAAUAUCUUGGACAUCACGGCUCUAUUACAAGCAUCUACUCACUACUUAACACUCUACUAUGGCUAUAAAUACAGGUUACACUCCUCCCAUCCCCAUUUGUUCACCUAAUGCUUGCUCUAACUCUACUAAAACAUCUUUGAAAUUAAUGUGGAUUAUUAUUAUAUUAUGAGGCAAAGCCAUUUGAAAGUUGUGAGCAUAGUUCUCAUUUUCCUUCUUCUCGGCUUCAGCUGCCCGGCGGGAGCGCGGCGGUUUGUCGGCGGAGCCACGACGCUUGCAAAUCAUUUAGUGUUUGAAUCCUUGCCUAGAGGGUCCGUCCCGUCUCCUCAGGCUUCAGAUUGCACCAACGGGCCGAACACGAAUGGCAGUCAGUGUCCCAUUGGUUGAGUAAAUCAAUUGGUACUUCGAAAGUUCGCUUAGUUUUUGAUGAUGUUAGAUUGAAAAAAAAUCAUGUCAUUUUGAUUUUUUUUUUACCUUCCUAUUGAGGUAAAGGAUAUAUAUAUAUAUAUAUAUAUAUAUAUAUAUAUAUAUAUAUAUAUAUAUAUAUAUAUAUAUAUAUAUAUAUAGUUAGAUAUUCUCAGUACGUAUUUGAUUGCAUGCUUGAUGCAUGUUUUUUGUGGGGUGUAAAAAUAACUGAUUGAGCGAUACGUUUUUUACUAGCAAUAAAUACUACGUGGCCCCUAUUACAUAGGAGAGCUUAUAAAGAACAUAUCAUCUUCAAAUCAUGCGACGAAUAUAUCAAAGAUACUUCUUCCCUACUAUCGUUCCACAUAAAUUUGAUGUACAUGUUAUGUUCGCAAGUCUUAAUCAUCUACAGUUUGUUAGAGUAAGAAAAUGACAUCUUGCCAUGAGAAAGAUAUGUCCUCUUUCUUACAGGAAUAUGUUAAAUACAAUAAAUGACAUAUCUGUUUCCAUGUGAUUUUCUGUAAAGCUAACUUUGGGUAGCGAGAUGUAACCCGUCAUUAUAAUUAAAUGCCUGCAAUUUACAGUAACUUCGUAACUAUUUUUACAUAUCAUAAUAUAAUACAAAUCACUAUACACUUCUAUACCCAAGGGAAUAAGAGAUAUUGUAAAGUGACAAUUAAUCUAACAUUUUAUAUCAUCUCUAUUUCGUACACGGGAGAACUCAUGGAAAAGAGAGUUAGUUAGAAAAUGACAGUUGCCAAACCAUCUAUCUCAAUGGAAUUGUACAUAUGAAAUGUGACAAAUAUUCUUUUUUGAAAUUAUUUCUAAAAAUAGGUUGGGCUUAAAAUUGGGUGAGUUGGACUAGCCAAAAGCUAAGCUCUGGUUUGGCCUUGCCCUAGCCAGUUUGAUGAGACCAUUUGGCUUGAGCCUAAAGCCCAUAUGGAUGCUUAGUGGUACAAAUGUUGGGAACCCCCUCAACUAUAGGCUAUUUUGAAAUAGACCCCUAAACUGUUUAUCUUGUUUCUUCAACUUUUAUUUGCUUUUAUUUGAGUUUUUUUUUUUCUAAAUUGAAUUGGAAGUCAUUGAAAUUAAUUGCUGCAUUACUUAUCCAUUAUGAAAAAGUUGAUGAAAUCUGCAAUUUCAGUAGCUGGAAACCAUCUAUUCGUGUAUAUAAUAGCUUAUACAGUGUUUUGAGAUUUGGAGUGACUCAAAGAUGUUAUACCAUUUUGAGGACUGGUGUGCUGAUGAUUGUAUAUUUACAGUGUUGCUAUAGUAUAUAAUUUUUAUUUUAUUCUGAUACCUACUAUUGUUAUAUUUUAGUUAAUUUUUAUUGAACAUAUUUUAUUGACGCUUCGUACGUAUAAGGUGUAUUCUUAUGCAUGCCGCGAGUCUGUUAACAUAACCCGGACUUCUAUUAUCAUCGUGGAGGUCCCGUAGAUAGUUUGUUACCUUGUUUUUCUCAGCAUUCCAAAAAUACCUACAGGAAGCUAAAAACCUCCUAAUUAUUACAACUACUAAGAACUGCUACUUAUGCGCCUAAAAGUUGUAGGGGUAUGUAUCUUACAUGCAUCCAUCAAAGAAUUUAGAAACCACUUUUGGAUUUUUGAUAUUAAAAAAAAAAAGAGGAUUGAUAAGAUUAGUUUGAAAAUAUUGGCCCUUAUAUAGAUAGGGUAUAAGGUUUAUAUUCACUUUUUACGUGUACAAGUACCAUUGCUUUGGUUCAAAACUAUGUUUAAUCAUUUUUCUUGAGUAAGGCACCGGGAACUAGUCAAAUUUGCAUGGGUUUUUUGGGUCAAGUUGGAAAUAAUUACCACUACUCGCACUUUUAUUGCUUAAUUCCCUUCUACAAGUUUUUUGUCCAUAAAUGUAUAAAGAAUUUUAAUCUAAUAAUUCAAAUACCAACUACCAAUCUCUUUCCAAAAUUACAUUAUUAGUGGAUGACAAAAUUAUGGAGGGUGGAAAAUGAUAACAAUACAAAUACUCGAGGGUUUUCUAUAGAUUUUUUAGCAAUACUAUUAGUACACCCGAAAAGAGAUGUACAUCUUACAACCCAGUCAUCCUUGGUGGGAAUUUUCCCACCAAUCACAUGAUGUGGCUUGUGAAUUACACCACACCCAAGGAUGGGUGGGCUCGUAAGAUGUACACCUCUUUCGGUGUAUACCAUUAGCAUUUAAGGCCCAAUAUAUGUUUGUAGGGGUUGUCUGCAAUUUAGCCCAUCUCUUUUUGAGUUCAUCAAAAUUGGCAUUCUGAACAGGCGUUGCAGAACAUACAGCAGAACUAGGGCAAAAUUGGUACUAGACAGUUCCAGGCUUGAAGCGAGCAGUACUAAGGCAAGAACAGCUCAAGCCUAAUCCUGGCAUCAACUGAUGCUAUUUGAUUCCUACUUAUGCAUCUACAACACAUUUUAGAACUCGGCUCCACGGAUAUCUAAUUCCAGAGUCCCUGGUUUAUCAGUUCCAACAUAUUUUCAAAACAAUUCGAGGUUAAUGCAUCAUAAUGUAAUCUUAGCUUCCAAACAGUCUAAAAGAAUGUAAUCUUACGUUUGAUCAACAGAACGUAGUGAUAAUAUACCAACCACACAGGUAAAUUCCCUGUCCAUUAAUUCCUAAACCUUCGUGUUUGUCACAUGUACCAGCAAAAUUUUGUAAAGCUUCGCAUCCACCGCAGAGAUCAUCAAAAUUUGGUUACUAAUACAUGGGUUACAAGUUUUGCAACCUUCGUAUCCACAGCGUGGCAUGAUGGUACCUCUAUGAUCCGUACGCAAUUUGUGCGAUAAAUUGGAAUUCCGAUCGGGACAAGCGCGACUAGUGAUACAACAAAACAAGAUAAAUUGGAAUUCCGAUCGGGACAAGUGCGACUAGUGAUACAACAAAACAAGAUGAGCAUAAAGUUAUAUCGGUGACAAUCUCUCCAAUGAGCUUUUAAUGCUAAAUUCCACCCCAUUCGCCGCCCGUCUGUAGAAACGAAAGUUUAGAAUGAGCCCUCUUCUCCAAUAAAUAGAAGUACAACUUACGAGAGAACACUCAACAAAGCCCGCUGCACUAGAUUUUAAGUACGGAAUUGCGGAAUCAUUCUUUACAAGAUGUUUUCUCUUUUUUUUUUUUAAUCUUUUCUCCUCCAUCGAAGGUAAGGAUCACAUUUUCAUAUCAAAACUCAACAACAACAAUAAAGAUCAAUUACAGACAUUAUUAAGAUCUCGAUGAUGAUUGCACUGUUCCUUUCAUAGACCUCCUCAAGGCCCACCUGCGGGACGAUAUAUAGAGUACCCCUCCACCCCGGUUGUCAAAUUCGAAUACUCCCCUAGUUGUUGGUAUGGGUAACCGUUUGCAUCACCCGCGCCUAAAUUAAGCAUCGACAGGUCGGCACCAGGGCCGUACAGCCACUGGUUUUGCAUAACCCCGUCAAUCUGACCAUCUGGGUACAUUGAAAGAUCUAACGGUGAGAAAUGCCCCUCUCUCAACCCGUGAACAAGACCGCCAGUGCAAGAAUCAAAGGCCCGCGAAAUGCUCUCAUAGCAUUGCUCAGCUUGGUCAAACUGACCAGAGGAGCUUGCAGGCAGAGAGUACUGCCGACUGAAGCUCUGUUGGUGAUUAUAAUCGUGGUGAAGCCUACCAUUACUCUGCUCCUCAUCAAGCAAGUCAUUGAUGAUAUCAAGGUGGGGGAAUUCGUCAGUGUAAUUAGGAAAAUUCUGCGGGGGAAGUCGCUUAUGUUGCGACUCCCCAUAAAUGCUGAGACCCUCCAUGUCACUCAGUAUGUUCAAGCCAAACUUCUCAUUAUCUAUCCAACAGUUCUGGUUGUUUAGCGCGUCCGGCCUAACCGACCCGAAAGUAAACCCCGGUCUUAGUGAGGACUGAUCCGAUCUUGAAGAAAUCUGAGACUGAAGGACAGAUGUUGAUGCAGAGGAAACAGAGGUCGAUGAGUGAGAAUACGCAACACCUUGGCUCAUAGCAGGGCUCGUGGUACCCGUGGUGGCCAUGUUACCCAUAAUAGCAUUACGGUACGACUGAGGAAAAUAGCUGGGGGCAGAGGGGGAUGGAUCAUUAUUGCCCAAUCGGCCAGCGGCACUCCUCGAGCGUGAAAGUUGCGGCGCUGCUUGGACCAUGGAAACGGUUGGUAUGUACGGUCUAGGCGCCGGGAUCAAAGGUGCACUUAAAGGCCUUGACUUUGUAGCGGUCGCUGAGGAGAUUGUUGUAGUAUUCUUUGAGGAAGUUGUUGGUUUCUGAGUUUCAGUUUUAGGGAUGGAAGAGGUUAGCGGCAAUCUCAAUGACGGUGGAGCUAGUUUAUCAGGUUGGACUGUGUGAGUUGAUUGAAGCUCUUUUGUAGAAGAUGGUUCAGGUGGAGUGGCGGUGGUAACAGUGGUUGCUGGAGAAAUAGCUGCGGUGGCGGUGGCGCCGCUGGCAGUGGCGCCGGCAGUGGGGCCGCUGGCGGUGGCGGCGGUAGUGGUGGUUGAGGAAGCUGUAGUGCUUUCUGAUGACUGCUUUGGCUGCUGCCAAGAGAUUAAUGGCUUCUUCAGAGGACUGGCUGAAGAAGAGGAUGAUCCUCCUGUCGUCUUCUUUGAGUGGCUCGCAAUGUCAUAUUGAUCUUUGCUGUUUAGCUUUUUUGUCAGAUAUAUGGCUUCCUCCUCCUGAAAGGAAAUCACAUUUGAGGGUGAUGAUGAUGAUUCAGUUACUGUGGAGUCAAAGCAACAAAACUUUACUUGCACCUAAAGUUGCUAUCAGUCCCCUUAACCCGAAUAUUAGCACAACUAGAAGCACGUACAUUUCCCUUCCCAAAAGACUAAUCUGUGAAUGUGUUUUCUUUAGAUGCAACUAUAAUGUAAACAUUAUGCUAAUAGAGAGAGUUUUUAGACAGGUUUUCUGAAUCUACGUGAGAAGUGAGUUUUCAAUAGGCGACUUGAGAUUAAAGUGUUAAGAAACAAUUGACAAAAAGUUGUAUUCUUAUGUAUAUGAACAUCACAAAGUUUUCAGUAGUUUUACAAACAAAAUGCAUAGUAAACAGGCUUCCAAGCCCUACGAACUUCUGUCUGAAGAUUUUUCAAAAGCUGUGAAGAUAUCAUAGUGUUUAGUUCUAGAAGAAUAUUAUCAAAAGAACAUUAAAUAACAGGACAGCAGAAAUAACGUAGCAAUGGAAAAUCUUUCGUUAUUAUUGAGCUUUCAGGCUAUUCAAUUCCAGCUAGGCAUGAACUCUAGGUUAAGUAACGUGAUUACAUUCUAUAACUUUCCUCCACCCUCACCCAAUAUCAUGCAUUUCCAUAAAAUUCCUGCAUAUGAUAGAAAUAGCACGCCAGAUAUAUUAAGAAAAAAGUUUGAGAAAAAAAAAAAUACUUCAAAAAAAUAAAGGCUUUCAAAAUUUUCAACAAGCUUUAGAAAAUAUAUAAAUUGAAUCAUCAACUAGGGCCAGAAACUUGAUGAAGCAUCAAAAUAACUUGUGUUUAGAGGUUAAAUAACAACGAGUAACAAAAGGAACCGAUUGAAGAGAAAGAAUACCAAAAGAAUCAAGUCUACCUUCUCAACCAGAUUGUGCUCAACCAACUGCAUCUGAUCUUUUAGUGAGAGAACAACCGCCUCAGAUUCAGGUCUGGGAGCCCUACAAUUGCCAGAAAAAACAUGGCCAGAAUCGAUAGCAGCAUCAGGUGGUGGAUUAUUUCCACCAUAAGAACGACCUGUUCGGUCAUUCAUCUCCUUGUUCCGCUGAUUCUUCCCUCUGUUGAUUGAUUUAUACCAGUCACAAAGGUGUUUGAAACAAAGGCAACAAAAUAAAACUAAGGGUAUUUUACAUAUCAUAUCCUUGCAAAAUCAUCUACUUAUGUACACUUCUGUAAAAUCAGAAUUUUUAUAUAUGUAACUUAAAAGCGCAGCUUUUACCAAUUGGAAUUAUCAAAACUCAUCGGCGGAAGUUGGUUUGUACCAAAAAAGUUGAGGGAGAAGGGUGCAUUGAAAUUUAGUUUUUAAAAAGCAUUACUGAAUAUUCAGAUUUUGCAGCAAAAUUGAACCUACCUGUUAGGUGAUGCCUGGACCUUGUUGUUGGACAAAGUGUUUCCUUUGUAAGGGCCGGACAUCACAACCGAUGGGACUGAAUCAGUAGAACAAGUCGACGAGCUGUCAUCGAUUGGAGGGCUUCUCUUUCCUGUUUUCCCAUUUGGUACGUCACCACUACUAGCCUCCAUGUUAGGGUAAGUUUCCGAUACAUCAGUGUCCCAGUUUACAGGACUGCUACCUCUACCUUCUAUAUCGAGCUGCGUCACCUCAGUACAAUUAUCUCCACCAUCAGACACAUCCGACGCAUCUUCUUGGUUAUUGACCUUCUGAAUAUCUGGUUCGGACUGCUUAGCUGGGACAUCAUCAAUACUUCUAUCAUCUGAUGGCUCUUCAUCCUCCUGGAAUUUUUCCUGAAUAAUAGUGUCAGCCUUCAAGUCUCUUCCUUUCUCUUUGCUUUUUCGACUAUUUCUCUUUUGUUUGCCCUGACCCUAUAGUAAAAGGAAAAAGUAUGAUUCCUAGAGAAUUAUUUCUGGAUUGCACGGUUAAGCAUAGGAACUAAGUAAUGCCAACUGUCUAUGGACCACCCAACAGAAAAGGACAAUACAAAAAUCUGCCAACAAGCCUAAUAGGUUUCUACUAACUGCUCCCUGUAGGCAGGGUUUAAGCAAAGCCAUUAAAGAAACAAUAGAGAAUCAAUUCUCAGAAAGGGCAAGAGAAGCAACCUGUAACAGAGUAGUAAAUGUCCAGGAAAUUUUUUUUAAAAAAAACGACAUGAGUAGGUACAAAUACAUUGGUGCCUUGAAGGUCAGACAGAAACUAACUAUUGUAGUUGACAGAUCUAAAUUCGCAAACAUUUUUCCAAAUGAACUCCUGUGAUGGCACCAUUUAGAACUUAAAUUAAGACUCUGAGAACUAUCUAACAAAUAUUCAAUAGCUCUACCAAUAACCAGAUCCUGAUAUCAGAAAUAAAUUAGUUUUAACUUCCAUCGAAGUUACAAGUCAUAUGGACUUUUAUACAAGUAACUGUAUGUCAAGAUACACAUAAGAUGUCAAUCACUUCUCUAGUACGUGCCAUAAUAUUAAAAGAAUCUGGGUUCGUGAGGAAAUUAACUGGAGACAAAGGUGCAAUGGACAACAGAAGAACCUAAAAGGGUACUCGAUAAAACAAGUAAAUUUUAUGGCGACACACCUGUUUUUUCUUUGCACGCUUCUCCCUGUCAGCAACAGCACGCUUUCCCUUGAGAUCAUCAGCUAGUCCAGCAGCUUCCUCUUCACGGAUGAGCUCCUCCUGCCUCUUUAGAGCAACAGCUUCUUGGUACGCAACCUCAAUUCUACUGCUGUCAAUAAAAAAAUAGAACAAAAUUAGCAAUACAAACCAAAGAACUCGUGUAACAUCAGUGUAUACAUGAUAUGCACGCGAAAAAGUGCCUAAGGUAUUAUUAAAAGAGGGUUUUUUAGUUUUAUUUAUUAAAUUGCUAAUUCCUGUGUUGAUUGUAAAACAUGCUAUGGUGUACAAAUUUCAAAACUCCAACAACCAGAGGAACAACCAAAUUUUUCUCAAUACAGAACAGAGAAAAGGAAAACCGUGAAAAAGGGCAAUCUUCAACUGUAAUACACCACAGACAAAAAGUCGUGGCUUCGAAAAGCAAAUAUUUGAAUAUAAUCUCUAUAAUUACAGUAGGUACUAUAUUUUUCAAGAUCAAUAACUGGAGAACACUAAUAUCAAUGUUUAAUAUCCCAAUUGAAUAAAGAUACUCAUAUGAUGAAUACAUUCAAUUCGAUAGGUAACGGUGGAAUCGAAAUAAAACCUGAAUAUAUGAGCUAGGACAAAAAUUUCCAGAGUCCUCCGACCCAGCUCCAUUAGGCGCCUUUCAUCACGCUCAGUGGAAUCUUUGUUGAUUUCUUCGCCAGAACUUCCAUCCUGCAUGUCAUCAUUAAAAUAAUAUUAACGUGAAAGAGCUCUGAAAAAUAUUUUUAAUGCAGGACAUCUGCUGAAUAACCUAUAAGUAGAUCAGCCAAUAAUACAUAAUAACUCACAUGCGACCAUAGAAAUGUACAAGUAUUCCAAUUCCUGUAACUUUCGUAAGGACCUGGAAGAAUUCACAUUUCUUUUCUGAAGACAUCGUACCAAAUACAAUUCAUGCAUGUAUCAUAAACAUCCUAAAGUAUGAACAUAGUUUUCCUUGAAGGCUCUAUUGAGUAUCAACACUUGAAAUUUUCCUGGUUAUCUCAGAUCACUCGAUGCGUGUGUCUAAAAUCCCUAUUACUUUACACCAGCACCACUAGCAACAUAUAAUCAGUCUUAGUUAUCUUUUUGUUGCUACUGUCAAUAUAUUCUCUUCCAUAGUGAGGGGAAUAGCAACUUAUCUAGGCUUGGCUACUUGUCUGUAGGCCAAUAAUUUCAGUUUAGAAAGGUGUCUUAACUCACAACUCAGAACCAUCAAAGCCAGAUAAGUCCGUAAGCUAGAAUCUAGCAAUUUUUAGCUCACUAGUGGAUCAAAGCACAAUAACCUGAAGAACUAACUAGCAAUCGACUAGAAAUAUUAUCAAAUGUAACCGCUGAUAUAAUAUAAUAAACAAUUAAAGUGCAUGUUUGACCCUGCUUCUACCUCUGCUUCCUGCUGCAGCUACCUGUAGCAGAGCAUUUGGCAGACAGAAAAGUCUGAAAAUUUCUUCUGCUGAGGAGAAGCCAAAAUGAGAAUUUGAGCGCUAAAAGCAGAAGCUCCAAUCUGGAGCUUUUGCUUCUGCAACUAAGGGAAGCUACUAGGAUGAAGUCAACAUAGCGCUUCUCCUGAUAAUACUACUUAAACAGUGCUUUACCAAACAACACCACAUCACAUAGCAGUGCCAAACUGGGAACAAACUGAAGAAAUAACCAGAAAAACUAAUAGCUACCUUGGUUCGGUUCUGCGAAGACUUGUCAUCUUUAGGAGGCAAAGGCUGAUGAGGCAAGGGCUCUGAUACUGCUCUCUCAAGCAGCAUUAUCACAUCAUCAGCCAACACAAACAUGUCUUUGUCGAUCCGUACCAUCGGAUGUGGUAGCUCUUCCAGUUCCACUAAUUUUGGUAACCCUUUUUUGUUCUUGCUCUGGAACUCAAGAGCCUUCAGCCCGCUGUACAGAGAGUCCAUAACUAAGGUAGAAGUUACUUCUUUUUCCAUAAAGAAAUGCUUGACAACCAACUUCAGUAUGGCUUCACUCUUGUCCCUUGACAUACGUCUCCUGGAACUCGCAUCAAUUCCUAGCCAAAAGACACGAAAACUGGAACACCAGAAUCAAAAGAAUAUUGUCAAAUGUCAGCUUAGUUCCAAAUUUAUCUGACACUGAAAACUAAUGAAUGUGAAUAUUGAUUUGGAGAGAGAGAGAGAGAGAGAGAGAGAGAGAGAGAGAGUAUGGGGAGGGGGAGUGUGGCGUGUGGGGCGGGGGUAGGUGGUAGGGUAGUUGGGAUAUGGAAUCAAACCUUGACCACCUCACUUUAUCCUCGAUCAACUUGGUAAGCUUGCUUCUUCUCUCCUCAAUAAAACGUCGGCAAAUUUGCUCUACGUUAGACAAAUAGAUACGGACCAGCUCCCUCCGGUACUGGCAGUCAAGGCAACGGAAUGGGCGGUUUGCUUUCUCCCUCAAAUAACAAAAUGCAGAAGCGAGUACAGUUAUGAAAAGGUACACAUUAAGUUCUCAUUGACAAGAAUAUGAAAUCUUUCCAAGAAAAACCAAGAAAAAAAUUCGAUGGAAGAAGAAACCAUGGAAGAUGCUAUCAAGUUCCAAUCAAGUGCAAUAAGCACGUAGUUUUUUGCUUAGUCAGGAAGUUUCUAAUGAAAAAAGAAAAGAAGCAAUAACAAUAUGGACAAUUGGCAGAAUGGAAAAUCUCAAUGAUAUCAACUAGAUAUGUUUCUUUGAAAGAUCAAAUAUUAGAGAACCAUGCGCCUUCGCCACCCUUGCAAAAGAAAAUCAUAGUUAUUAGAAAUGGUGGCCAAUUAUUCAGCCCAUCCAGCAUAUGGCAAUUACAACAAAGAAAAACAUCAAAAUCACAGAUUAACCAAAAACUAUUACAACUAUCCAUACAAAGUGAUAAGAAGGUAUACAAUCAUUAACAAAAGUUAGUAAAGGGUGAUUUAUAUCAUUCAAAGGAGAAAAAAAAAAUUGAAAUUGAAUGAACAGAAAAGAGGCCAUUCCUUGUGGAGAGUAUACAAGGAAAAAUAAACAUCACCCACGAAUGUCCUACUCCAACAUAGUGAAUGUAACAAAUGCUUGAUUCCUUACUAUUUAUCAGAUGCUUUGUGCUCAUAGUUCAACAUCAGAUUAGAGGUUAGAGAUCAGUAACAAAGUUCAAACAUCAAAUUCUUUAUGCACCAAGAAAGAAACCAAGGCUGAGCCAUGUUUGGCCCCUGUAUUGGAUACUAUGUCUGAGCCUGAAAUUUUGAUCCCAAUUAUGUCCUGGGUAGGUUCCGUUUUCCGUCCCUGCAGUGAUCUAUCGCGGAAAUCCAAAUAAAUAAAUCCUAGCCUCUUAGGUAAUACCAUAACUCUAAGGGACCGUUCGGUUCUUUGUUUGUGAUAUACUGGAAUUGUUGUAUAUUUUAUAAUUGGAAUAGCAAGUUUGUUACUAGUUUACCAUCCACUUGGGUUAGAAUAUUUUUAGGAACUUAUGUGUUCUUAUUAAUAGGCUACUCAUGAUUCCCAGGAACGACAACACCUCCUAAACCAUGGCAAUGUAAUAUUCCCGUUAGUUGGGAAUGCAUGAUGAUUACACUACUUCACCAAGAACUUCUAUAGAUUCCCAAGUUAGAUUGUACAGUAAUGAUUAAAAAUCUUGAACAUAAAAUAUGACUUCCAGAAUUUUACAAAACCCCGAACCAAACAGGCCCUAAAUUUAAGGGCUUACUCGGAUUUCAGAAUAAUUUAUCUGAUGAUAACUGGUGAUGCAUGUAGGUUUCAUUUUGUACAACCUAGGAGCUUGAUUUUAGUCUAUUGCAAUAACUCUAUAGUCAAGAUUUUUCAGGAUGCUACGUUCCACACAAGAGGCAACUCACGUAUAACAAGCCAUGCACUCAUGAUUUUUCUAAACUUAUGCUCGGUGUGAAGCUCCAAAAGGAAAAAAAUUCAGAUAAGGCCACACAUAUUUUUCUUGCGAAUGACAAGGAGAUUUUAUGUGCAUGAGCCCGACAAAUAACUUGUUUCUUGCAAAAACAAUAAAAUAAACUGAUGAUCUUGAAUAUGGAUAUAUUAAAAACCUGAUAACUUGAACUUGCGCUUUAAUAAUAAGGCAAUCAUCAACAACGAAGCCAUCAUGAACUUUUGAUAACUCCAUAAAUUUUUUCCACCCCCAAUCAUGCUCUUUCUUCCAGAACCGGUGCAACGUAUCUGCAGAACUACCUUACGUAAGCAUCCAACACAAUAAUCAAUCACAAGCUAACAGAAAAACAAAAAAGAUCCAUCCAUGACUGACUACAAUCCAGAUAUUCAACUAACCAGAGAACUUAGAUUUCUUGGGAUCUUUGUUAACUACAGCAAUUGUAAAUUGCGCAAAGUGACUCCAUCCUGAAAAUGUUCAGGAUAGAAGGGUAGAGGUUAGUAUAUAAGUCACAAGAACUCCCAAUAUAAAAAGAAAAAAACAGUAUUAAAUAUGCUGUAAACCUGGCAGAAGUUUAUCGUGAUUAGCAACACAGAGGAACAAUGAUAAGUGAUUGCAGACGUCACAUCCUUGUGGGUAGAUUAAAAUAUACCUGGAAAGUAAUUCAACAUGUUUAAAUUGCUAGCUGCAACGUAAGGUACCAGUGUAAACGUAUAAGCACAUAAAACAAUGAACGCUCAGCAAGUUGUUACGUGAUUUUGAAUUUCUAAUAAUGUCCAUUUAUGACACUUAGGAGUGAAUAUAAAUAUAUAAUUAUUUUAGAAUUCAUAUACUGCAUCUAUAGAAUGCAUCCAUAAUGACAUUAUGGCAAUUUGUCCAUCAGCAGUCACCAGGGUGACUUAACCCAAUAUGAUAUACCACCAGAACAAAGACAAUUAUAACAUUGUCCUGCGAUUUUCUUUUAGGGUUAAACAAUUUCAAACAAAAUUUUGGUUGUUUCUGCAACCAACCAAAAGAAAAGGCCGAAAUGACAAGAAUAUACUUCAAUUUACAGCAUCACAGUUUCAAAUAAAAAAGAUUGAUAAGAUAUCUUAAAAA
rnacentral:lncRNA from 1 species